rnacentral:snRNA from 1 species
UGGGCUAUAUUACGGACCC